rnacentral:rRNA from 1 species
CGACUCCAUGAAGUCGGAAUCGCUAGUAAUCGUGGAUCAGAAUGCCACGGUGAAUACGUUCCCGGGCCUUGUACACACCGCCCGUCACACCAUGGGAGUGGGUUGCAAAAGAAGUAGGUAGCUUAACCUUCGGGAGGGCGCUUACCACUUUGUGAUUCAUGACUGGGGUGAAGUCGUAACAAGGUAACCGUAGGGGAACCUGCGGUUGGAUCACCUCCUUACCUGAAAGAA